rnacentral:rRNA from 1 species
AGAGUUUGAUCCUGGCUCAGGACGAACGCUGGCGGCGUGCUUAACACAUGCAAGUCGAACGGUUUAUAACGGGCUUGGCCCUUAUAGAUAGUGGCGAACGGGUGCGGUAACACGUGUAGCAACCUGCCCCAAAGUUUGGAAUAACACCGGGAAACCGAUGCUAAUACCGAAAUAUGCUCACACUAUCACAAGAUAGAGUGAGGAAAGUUUUUCGCUUUGGGAGGGGCUCGCGGCCUAUCAGCUUGUUGGUGAGGUAACGGCUCACCAAGGCAUCGACGGGUAGCUGGUCUGAGAGGACGAUCAGCCACACUGGGACUGAGACACGGCCCAGACUCCUACGGGA